rnacentral:rRNA from 1 species
AAAACGACUCUCGGCAACGGAUAUCUAGCGUCUCGCAUCGAUGAAGAACGUAGCAAAAUGCGAUACUUGGUGUGAAUUGCAGAAUCCCGUGAACCAUCGAGUUUUUGAACGCAAGUUGCGCCCGAAGCCACUAGGCCGAGGGCACGCCUGCCUGGGCGUCUC